AUUGAACGCUGGCGGCAGGCCUAACACAUGCAAGUCGAGCGAGCCGGGCACGGGUGAGUAAUGUCUGAGACACCGCCUGAUGGAGGGGGAUCAAUACUGGAAAGGGUAGCUAAUCGCGUAUACUCUCAUAUGUCCCCAGAUGGGAUUCGAUAGGAGGUGGGGUAAUGGCUCCCCAGGGAGACGAUCCCUAGCUGGUCUGAGAGGAUGACCAGCCACACUGGAACUGAGACACGGUCCAGACUCCUACGGGAGGCAGCAGUGGGGAAUAUUGCACAAUGGGCGCAAGCCUGAUGCAGCCAUGCCGCGUGUAUGAAGAAGGCCUUCGGGUUGUAAAGCACUUUCAGCGGGGAGGCGUUACCCGCAGAAGAAGCACCGGCUAACUCCGUGCCAGCAGCCGCGGUAAUAC
rnacentral:rRNA from 1 species